CCAUCUGUCCCAAGACCAGUUUCCUUUUCUUUGCUCUGUUUUCUCUGAGGAGCCCAUGCUGAGUGGAGACAGAGCCAGGAAUACUAACAGUUGGUGACCAUCCAGGGACACCAGCCACUGUUGUUACCUUCACUCUCACCACCAAAAGCAAUUAAAACAAUAUGUGUACAAUAAAAUAUAAAAGCAUAUUUCACUUCUAGGAAAGGGAAAGUGGAUUCAAGCAUUAAAGGGAGAGCCUGGGUUGCAGCCGCCAGCAGCUGCAGGCUGUUCUCCAAGAAAGAAUGGAGCUAGAGAGCCAGGCACCAGCUCCUGUCUCUGGUGGCAUGGAAAGUUGUCCUAAGAAAGGCUGGAAUAACCUGUGGUCUCUGGAUGCUAAAUUCUCAGGGCCCAGGACAGCCUUCUGUCACCCACGGGCUAAAGUCAUCAGGAAAGCAAAUAAGGAUCCACAGUUAGAAGAAGAAAAAUGUUUCCGCCCACCCUAACCCUUCCGCACCACCUGUCACCUGAAAACCCAAAACUCAGAACUGCCCCGAGACACAUCCAGCCAGAAUCCAGAGAGACCUUUGAGGCUGGGGCUGGGCCCACUCACCUCUCAUGAGGAGGCAAAAGCAAAUGCUUCUCCUCCCAGGGCUGACCAAGGCAGUGGGUGGACAAGCCUGGGCCAAGGCAAACAGGGACAUGGCACCUGAAGGCACUAUUGACAAACUGGGUGUGUUAAUGGACCAAGUGGGGCUAGAAUGGGAAGGAUGGAUUCUCCGAGGCUGCACAGAGAGUGCAGGAGAGAAAAGAACUUCCAAACUGUCUCCUUUAGCCUUGGCUACCCCUGGAGAAAGCCCAGGUGUUUCACC
rnacentral:lncRNA from 1 species